rnacentral:lncRNA from 1 species
GGAGAUGCUGCCGAAAUUUCGGUAGAAAAAAAAAUAAUAAAAUAAAUUCGGUAUAAAAUAAAUAGAUUUUAGAUGAAAAUAAAUAAAAUAGAGUUAGAUAGAAAAAUAAAAUUUUAGUAUAGAAAAGAAAUUAAAAUAUUGAGAUUAAUUUACGUAGAAAAAAUUUAGAAUAUAAAAUAAAACUCUUAGAGUGGUAAAGAAAUAUUUUUAUCUGAUAUAGUUAUUUUUGUUUGUGUCAUUCUUUAAAUUUCUUAGAUCGCCCGUGUCCAUCUAGUGCUCCUCCAGGACAGAAUCAAAGCUAGGACUUCGCUUUNNN